GAGUGUGGCUUCUGCUCUCAGACUGCCAGGGUUCAAAUUCUGACUGCCACUGAUUUGCUGUGUGAUUUUGGGAAAGUCAGCUAACCACUCUGUGCUUCAUUUGGUGAAAAUAGCAUCCCCCCACAAGGUUAAGAAGAUGGAGUGAAUGCCUGAAAAGAACAUGGAGUAUGGCCUGCCACAGAGGAAAAUUUGGAAAAUACAGAAAAGCAUAAAAAGGGAGAUAAAAUUCAGCCAUAAUGCCAUCACUCAGCAAUAACCGUGGUCAUUCCGGACUCCUAAUGCCGCCAGUCCCUUGGUGAGACAUGAGCGCCAUUGGCGUCCAUGGCCUCUGUUUCCGUGGCAACCCAGUAACCAUUAAUUUUCAAUUAAAGGAGACAAAAAGCUCGAUGACAGCUCCAGGUCUGCUGAAGAUGUCAAGAAUCUGUAUUAAUAUACAGCAAGAGAGCAUAAUUGUGUGUCCAUCUUCCAGAGCAGCGAAAAAUGGAGGGAUAAUUACCAGCUCGAAAGGCACUCUGUAAUUUAGUUCUUACUGUCACCACAGCCCUACA